CUGGCCGCCGCUGCCCGGGAUCAGG
rnacentral:piRNA from 1 species